UGGGAGAGCAGGCAAGCAACUAGUGGGAAUUUUGCUGGCCGUAAAUGAGUAUGAUAAUUCUCUUGAUGUGAUGCCUGCUGCAUUGCACUGUGGAUAGAAGGAAAGCUUGCAUUGAUUAGAGGAAGGGAAGUGACCAUGGGAAAUUUCAACAGAGAAACGGCCUCUGUUAGUCUGAGAGGGGCUAUAGGAGGUGAUAUUCUCGACUCCCAAGAAUAUUAGUGUAUUCUUACUCUUGUUCAGAAUAAUGAAGCUCCUCCAAAAUUGUAUUAACACAUUUACUGUAACAGCUAGAAGAGUUAAUAUUUGGUGAUUUGUGGUAAAGCUGUUUAAAAAAAUGGUGUAAAAUUAAUCACAGGUACUUAAAUAAUAAUUUGUAAUGUGGAACUUGAAAUAAACGAAUAGAUACAAAAAGA